AGCCAGGCCCCAGGCAACACGGGCCGGGCGUAGCAAAAAAAAUUCGGCCUAAAAAAGGAAAAAAGAUUUGCCUUGGGGCGUGGCAGCCCACCAGCCCGGGCCAAUCUGCCAGCCCAGGUUGCUUUCUACCGGUCCAAUUGUCCAAAGAAACCACGGGGAAACAAAUCAAGCGAGACACGACAGAGAGAGGUGGAGAGUGCGCGGAGCGCUGCCGUCGGACGCCGGCCGUGGUGCCGGGGACCUGGCCUCCUAGCCUGCUUCCGCCCGCUGCACGCCUCCUCCGCUCUCCGCUGGCCGGCUCCCCAGCGCCCUCUGGACCCGCCCCGUCGCCGACUGACGGCAGUCUCUCCUCCGAUCGGCGACCGUCUGCCUUCCCUGCCCCCAAAUCCUGAAGGCUGAAAUCCCCAAGAGGGUCAGCGUGAUGCUAUUGCAUCAUACUAGAGAGUAUGUGGCGAUGGACAAAGUAUGUAUAAUUGUCAAUCAGUUUUGGAGCCUAAGAAGGCUUCCUUAUGAACGGUAGCAGGCAUUGAGAAUUUGAGAUGGUUUUAGUGGAUACGGUUUCAACAUGAUUGUUCGCGUCGCCAACCAACGUUGUGGGAAAGCCAUGACCAUGUUGGCGAUCAGGAUUUCAUCAAACAAGGUUUUGGUGGCGGUUAUGAAGGUGACCAAGUACCUAGCGAAAAAAGUAUAUUUUCUGUUCAUCAGUUGGCAUGGAAAUAUAGAACUGGUUCAUAAACUUUUUUUGGGUAGACAUUUAGUCCCUAAAUUUGCAAACGAGAGAAUUUUGUCCUUCAUUUCACUCGAAGCGGUAUUGCCUUCAACGCAGGGCAGUUUUGUCCCUGUUCGCCAUGGAAAUUACCAAGAUGCCAAGCUUCUUGGACACUUAGGGUUUGCUAGAUUUAGGGCGGCAGUAAGGUGUGAUCUUGGUGUCUUACGUGGCAAUAUUGCUUCAAGUGUGACAAAGAACCAAAAUUCUUUGGUUUUGCCAAUUAAAUGACUAAAUGUCUCCAGAAACCAA